GGAUCCAGACUUUGAUUCUGGCUCAGGACGAACGCUGGCGGCGCGCCUAACACAUGCAAGUCGAACGGAGUCAAGAGGAGCUUGCUUUUCUUGACUUAGUGGCGAACGGGUGAGUAACGCGUGAGUAACCUGCCCUGGAGUGGGGGACAACAGUUGGAAACGACUGCUAAUACCGCAUAAGCCCACGGCCCGGCAUCGGGCUGAGGGAAAAGGAUUUAUUCGCUUCAGGAUGGACUCGCGUCCAAUUAGCUAGUUGGUGAGGUAACGGCCCACCAAGGCGACGAUUGGUAGCCGGACUGAGAGGUUGAACGGCCACAUUGGGACUGAGACACGGCCCAGACUCCUACGGGAGGCAGCAGUGGGGGAUAUUGCACAAUGGGGGAAACCCUGAUGCAGCGACGCCGCGUGGAGGAAGAAGGUUUUCGGAUUGUAAACUCCUGUCGUUAGGGACGAUAAUGACGGUACCUAACAAGAAAGCACCGGCUAACUACGUGCCAGCAGCCGCGGUAAAACGUAGGGUGCAAGCGUUGUCCGGAAUUACUGGGUGUAAAGGGAGCGCAGGCGGACCGGCAAGUUGGAAGUGAAAACUAUGGGCUCAACCCAUAAAUUGCUUUCAAAACUGCUGGCCUUGAGUAGUGCAGAGGUAGGUGGAAUUCCCGGUGUAGCGGUGGAAUGCGUAGAUAUCGGGAGGAACACCAGUGGCGAAGGCGACCUACUGGGCACCAACUGACGCUGAGGCUCGAAAGCAUGGGUAGUAAACAGGAUUAGAUACCCUGGUAGUCCAUGCCGUAAACGAUGAUUACUAGGUGUUGGAGGAUUGACCCCUUCAGUGCCGCAGUUAACACAAUAAGUAAUCCACCUGGGGAGUACGACCGCAAGGUUGCAACUCAAAGGAAUUGACGG
rnacentral:rRNA from 2 species